GAUGAACGCUGGCGGCGUGCCUAAUACAUGCAAGUCGAGCGAACAGAUGAGGAGCUUGCUCCUCUGACGUUAGCGGCGGACGGGUGAGUAACACGUGGAUAACCUACCUAUAAGACUGGGAUAACUUCGGGAAACCGGAGCUAAUACCGGAUAAUAUAUUGAACCGCAUGGUUCAAUAGUGAAAGACGGUUUUGCUGUCACUUAUAGAUGGAUCCGCGCCGCAUUAGCUAGUUGGUAAGGUAACGGCUUACCAAGGCAACGAUGCGUAGCCGACCUGAGAGAGUGAUCGGCCACACUGGAACUGAGACACGGUCCAGACUCCUACGGGAGGCAGCAGUAGGGAAUCUUCCGCAAUGGGCGAAAGCCCGACGGAGCAACGCCGCGUGAGUGAUGAAGGUCUUCGGAUCGUAAAACUCUGUUAUUAGGGAAGAACAAAUGUGUAAGUAACUAUGCACGUCUUGACGGUACCUAAUCAGAAAGCCACGGCUAACUACGUG
rnacentral:rRNA from 1 species